rnacentral:rRNA from 1 species
UGCUACAAUGGCGUAACAAAGGGAAGCAGCCCUGUGAAGGUGAGCAAAUCCCAAAAAUAACGUCCCAGUUCGGAUUGUAGUCUGCAACCCGACUACAUGAAGCUGGAAUCGCUAGUAAUCGCGGAUCAGAAUGCCGCGGUGAAUACGUUCCCGGGUCUUGUACACACCGCCCGUCACACCAUGAGAGUCGGGAACACCCGAAGUCCGUAGUCUAACCGCAAGGGGGGCGCGGCCGAAGGUGGGUCCGGUAAUUGGGGUGAAGUCGUAACAAGGUACC